rnacentral:tRNA from 1 species
AGACUGUUAGUUUAAGCAAAACAUUUGAUUUCGGCUCAAAAGCUUGUGGUUAAAGUCCACAAUCGUCUA